GGAGAUCGUCAGUUUUUUGGACCAGAUCUGACCAAAGAGUCCGAAGAGAAGGUUAAGUUGAUUCGAGAUAGACCGAAGGUAGCUCAGUCCAGGCAAAAGAGUUAUGCCGAUACCAAAUGCAAGGAGGUAGUCUAUGAAAUUGGAGAUCGAGGGUAUCUUCGAGUGUCACCACUGCCACGAGUUAAACGAUUUGGAGUUAAGGGAAAGUUAGCCCCGAGGUUUGUAGGACCAUGCCGAGUUUUGGAACGUAUGGGAGAGGUUGCCUACAAAUUGGAGUUACCCGAAGGAUUUUCAGGAGUUCAAGAUGUGUUUCAUGUUUCCUAG
rnacentral:rRNA from 1 species